UCCAAAAUAAUUUCACCAACGAAAAUGCAUUCACCAUGCAAUCAUACAUGCAAUCCUGUGACUAAUCAACUAAAAUUUCAGGUGGUUGCUUUUCCAAUAUAAACUAGCAAUAUUAAUAUUUUUAUAUCUAAUAAAUACUAAAUAUUAAUAAUUAUUUAAAAAUAUAAAUUAAAAACCACAUUUCAUCUCAUUUGCUCAAAGCUUGGUUAAAUCAGCACAAAAUCUCUUACUUAUGAGACUCUGGGUGCCGAUCAGACGAAGAAUUUGAGGCGAGAGGACUUUAAAUCCUUUGCGAGCGAGCAGGAGGCGCCGGAAAGAAGAAGAUUAGAGGUGGCCAGCGUUUGUCGAUUGGGGCUUCAAUUAGGGCUCCAAAUCAUCACUCUUCAGUUGGCGCCGGAAACCAUGUGCAGUAUCUGUCAGGAUUGUGUCGUACUAGUACUAUGACUCGAGAGUUUUUAGUUCUGGGGCGGCACCUUUUGACAGAGUUGAGGGAUAAAAUAUAUUGCUUGACAGAUCAGCUCAUGGAAAGAGCAGGGCAGCAUGAAACUUCUGGAUAUUUCCUUAUUGCGAUUGUCUUCUGCAACGAUCUGAGAGAUACCACUGCAAUAGACUAUAGCAAACCUAUUCUGGACUGGCUUAAAGACUCAAAGAAGGGAGCACUUGAAAAAUGGGAAUAUAUUCUAUCUGGAAGAUUACAGCCAAGGCAGAAGGCUCUUGUAGAUGAUAAAAAGAAAGAAAUUUUGCCUGGGUUUAAAGCUGUCCGGAUGCAAGAGACGCAAUUUUGUGAGUUAAACUUCCAACUCGGGCUUGAUGCUCUCUAGGUUAUGAGGGUGCCUGCAAGCACACUAUUGUUAUCAGAGAUAUGAGGCUGAUCCAUCCCGAAGACAUACAAGAUCGAUUUGCCUAUCCAGUUGUAACAUUCCAAAUUAAACCAGGGAUCAGCAAGUGUUCUGUAUGCCAGAUAUUUGGAGCCAAAUUGGUGACAAUGGUCGACAAAUGGGCUGAAGAGAAUCCUUGUUAUUUCUGUGAUACUUGCUAUUAUAUGCUUCACUAUGCCAACGAGUCCUUGCUGUAUCUAGACUUCUCCGUAUAUGAUUGUCAUCAUGAUCAAAUUUGAACUCAAAAACAUUUUGCAUGCAAUUGUUACUUGUUAGGAAUAUAGAAAAAGAUUGUCCCACUUAUCAAUUAGUCGAGGGGAGCUAAUGUACAUAAGAAAAAUAAAUUUUGUCUGUAUAGGGAUUCGUUAGUGUAAUCAAACAAAAAGCAUUUAUCGGCAACUGAAUGUAGGGGCCUGUUCGGGUGCUUUUU